UACGAAGGGGGCUAGCGUUGCUCGGAAUGACUGGGCGUAAAGGGCGCGUAGGCGGAUUGUACAGUCAGGCGUGAAAUUCCCGGGCUCAACCUGGGGGCUGCGCUUGAGACGUGCGAUCUUGAGUGGGGAAGAGGGUCGUGGAAUUCCCAGUGUAGAGGUGAAAUUCGUAGAUAUUGGGAGGAACACCAGUGGCGAAGGCGAGUCCCUGGACACUUCCUGACACUGAGGCACGAAAGCUAGGGGAGCAAACAGG
rnacentral:rRNA from 1 species